rnacentral:tRNA from 1 species
GCCCGAGUGGCGGAACGGCAGACGCACCGCACUCAAAAUGCGGCGGGGAGACCCGUGUGGGUUCGAAUCCCACCUCGGGCA